AACGAACGCUGGCGGCAGGCUUAACACAUGCAAGUCGAACGCAUCGCAAGAUGAGUGGCAGACGGGUGAGUAACGCGUGGGAACAUACCCUUUUCUACGGAAUAGCUCUGGGAAACUGGAAUUAAUACCGUAUACGCCCUACGGGGGAAAGAUUUAUCGGGGAAGGAUUGGCCCGCGUUGGAUUAGCUAGUUGGUGGGGUAAAGGCCUACCAAGACGACGAUCCAUAGCUGGUCUGAGAGGAUGAUCAGCCACAUUGGGACUGAGACACGGCCCAAACUCCUACGGGAGGCAGCAGUGGGGAAUAUUGGACAAUGGGCGCAAGCCUGAUCCAGCCAUGCCGCGUGAGUGAUGAAGGCCUUAGGGUUGUAAAGCUCUUUCACCGAUGAAGAUAAUGACGGUAGUCGGAGAAGAAGCCCCGGCUAACCUCGUGCCAGCCGCCGCGGUAAAAC
rnacentral:rRNA from 1 species